rnacentral:rRNA from 1 species
GACGAACGCUGGCGGCGUGCUUAACACAUGCAAGUCGAACGGAAAGGCCCUGCUUUUGUGGGGUGCUCGAGUGGCGAACGGGUGAGUAACACGUGAGUAACCUGCCCUUGACUUUGGGAUAACUUCAGGAAACUGGGGCUAAUACCGGAUAGGAGCUCCUGCUGCAUGGUGGGGGUUGGAAAGUUUCGGCGGUUGGGGAUGGACUCGCGGCUUAUCAGCUUGUUGGUGGGGUAGUGGCUUACCAAGGCUUUGACGGGUAGCCGGCCUGAGAGGGUGACCGGCCUCAUUGGGACUGAGAUACGGCCCAGACUCCUACGGGAGGCAGCAGUGGGGAAUAUUGCACAAUGGGCGGAAGCCUGAUGCAGCAACGCCGCGUGCGGGAUGACGGCCUUCGGGUUGUAAACCGCUUUCGCCUGUGACGAAGCGUGAGUGACGGUAAUGGGUAAAGAAGCACCGGCUAACUACGU